UUACAGGGCAGCAGCAGAAGCUGCCAGGCCAUGUGCUCUGCUCCCUCAGUCUUCCCAGCAUAGGCUGAAGCCUUUUGGGACUGUGUUCCCCAUCUGACCCUACACAGGGCACCCAAGGAGUCCCACAGGUAGGUUGGAAGCCCAUGGGUGCCCUGAGUGCAGCUGUCAGCCCCAUAAAAUAGGCUCCCCACCGGCUGGUGCACCCCACUGCCAGAGACAGUGCUCCCCCACCUGCCCUCCGGGCUGGGCACCCCUGGUUAGGGCCAGGGAUGAUAUUCCAGGGGAAGCUGUGCUGGGCUCGGCCCUGCUUGCCCAUUGGCAGGAUUUUGCUGCAGUCUGCUCCAAGCUGAUGGUUUGGGUGACUAAAGAAACCUGCAGAAAGCAGCGCUGCUGGUGGACUGGGUCAGGUAGGGCUCUGGGGAGGGGGUGGCUGGGUUAGGUGAAGGUGGUGCUCUGUUCAGCCCUCCGAUAAGCUCAGCGUGUCGUGAGGGGAGGUGGCUCCUGGGGAUGGGAGCAUCCCGAGUUGCCAUGGUGACACCGGCUGCAUCCUCAGGCAGGCGAGAGCAUCGCUGGUGCAGUCCCGCAUGGGUGUUCCCCGUCUCUCCUCCCCGCUUCCGUCCUGGCUGCCGUCCCUGGGGAGCGCAGGGCUUUUGGCGUGGCACCCCGGGGACAGAGCGGUGGCACUGUGCCAGCUGAGCUCAGAGCAGAGCGAACGAGCCGCCAGCCGCAGCCUGUUGCACUGGUGUGUGCUGCGGUCCUCCCUCUCCCAAAAAGUGCACUCAGAGCGGUUCUGGUUGACAGGCACCAGAGAAGACCUACAACAGAGGUGACACACCACCAUCUCACAGCUCCUAAAAAGAGCGGAGAGAAGAAAAAUUUCCCUUUCACAGGUGUCAAGAUCUGUCGAAGCAGAGACCCUGGAGGGGAUCGUGGAGCCCUGUUUACUGUCCUGGAGUUCUGCAGAUUUUUCAGACUUG